AUCUCUGUCGGUGAGAAAAUGUGUGUGGAUGCUGACUUCUAGAAGACUCCAAAGCGCUUGUCUUCCCCACUCCCCAUUUCCAAAGGCUGAGACUCCUCUGCACUCCGAGUUUCCUCCCACGCUUCGUCUGAAGAGUGGGUUUUGGGGAGUGAAGGAUAGAAAAUAUCUGAAGACUCUUCCCUAUGACUUAAGACAUGAAUUUUCUUCUCAAGUCUUGAACUAAAGUCAGAAAGUGUUUGCAAGAAAUGUUCUUCUAGGUCCCACAUCCACGGGACCAGAUGAUGCCUGGCUCAAUGCAUUCCUAUCUGAAGUGGGGCAGAGAGGCUGGCAGCCUUCUUUACUAACCAGGCCUGGGAUGAGGUCAGGGGACACUGCUCCGUCACAAGCUUCCUGAUGGAGUAGCCAACCUUGCAGAUGGCCCUCGAUGAUCGGCAGUACCUGGUCUUCAUGUGCUUGUGUUGUUCCUCAAUAUUGUCCCUCAAAUGUUGAAUCAGGACUACAGUGGAAAUUAUAAUGUGACUUCUGAGGCCAGGUCAUAAAAGGCAUUGCUGCUUCUGCCCUGGCCUCUUGGAUUGCUUGCUCUGUGAGAAGCUAGCUGCCAUGUUGUGAGGACACUCAAGCAGCUCUGUGGAGAGGCCCAUAUGGAGAGGAACUGAAGGCUGGGCAACAGCCACACCAACUGGCCAGCCAAGGAAAUGAACUAUCUUGGAAGUGGGUCCCUAGCUCCAGCCAGAUGCAUGUAGCCCAGCUAAAAACUGAAUGCACCCUUAGAGCUCCCAAAACAGAACAUUCCAUCCAAGGUGCUCUCAAAUUCUUGAACCAGAGAAACUAGAAGAGAUAACAAUUAUUUUUCUUUUAAGUUCCUAAGUGUUGGGGUAACUUGUUAUGCAGCAAAGCAUAACUAAUAAAUAUUUAGUUCCUAGAAGCAAGAUGCUGCUGUAACAAAAAUCUAAAAAUAUGAGAGUGGUUUUGGGACCAAGAGUGGGAAAAAGUUGUAGAGACCAUGAAGAGAGUGUGAGGGAAAGCCUAAAUGGUCUUAAAGAGACUGUUUUCAGAAAUAUGAUGGCCUUCAAGGAGGCUAUUGGUAAGAUCUUGAAGAAAAUUGAGGAACAUGUUACUGGAAGCUGGAAGAAAGGGGAUUCUUACCCAUGGAACAGCAGAACAUCUAGCACAUUUUGUUAACAUGGAAAAUAGAAAAUGUACCUACUGAACUGGGUGAUCCAGCUAAAAAGAUUUCCAGGCAGAGUGGUAUAGGUGCCACCUUGAUUUUCGUUGCUACUUUGAGUAAAAAUCAGAGGAAAGAUAAGCUAAAGAAGAAAAAAACCUAUUUAUUACAAAAGAGGCAGAAACUGCAGGGUUUGAAAAUGCCCAGUCUGUCAAGGUAACAGACAAUGUGAAAAUUUUAAAAACAUUUUGAGACAAAGAUAAAAUCCAAAGUACAGCCAGAAAAACAGAGCGUAAAGAUGAAACUAAGGUGUGGCUGCAAGGUUUUCUUGUUUAGACCUCAGAACUAUGCAAGGUGUAGUCUUUCAGCCACUUCAUAGCAUCCUAAAGUAGAAAAGAGAUUUGCGGGUGUAGCUUUUGUCUAACAGAGUGAAUGUCAAUAAGAUUCAUAGGACACUUGCAAAAAUUUUAAGAGAAUUUCACUAGCAAAAACAUUGCCAGCUUUGACUGAAUAGAAAAGAAACACUACAAGAUGAACUGAAGACUUCUAUUGGCAAAUAAACUACUCAACUGCAAAAACACGUUUACUUUUAUGAAAAAGAAAAGAUAAUUCAGGGAUUAGAAGCAAGAACCCAGAAGACAGAGCCAAGAGCUGUAAAGAAUCAUUUUCAGCAGUAACAGGACUGAGUCCUGGCCAAGGAACUUGCAUAAUGUUCCUGGCUAGACUUCAAAAUUUAUCAAUAAUAGACAAUCAGUGUACCUAGUAACUACCUGAAGCACACAGAGAAAUCAAAAAGGAUUCAUUAGAGAAGGAAAACUUGCCAAGCAGAGAAGCCAAACCAGUGAUUCAUCCAUGACUCAGUCAUAAAUAAAGUGGCAAGUGGGAUGCUGACUGACUUUGGCACCUGAAUUCUAAGGUGCUACAGAAGUGUGGAUUUUUAUCAACAAACUAACACAGAGUUGAGGUUUUCAACUCCACUACUAUGAGCCCUGGGACUUCCAAAGAGAUGUCUCUCGGUCUUUCUUGGGGAGGAGUAAAGGUGAGGGUUGCUUUCUCCUUCAAUUCAGCUUGAAACAACUCUGCUUUUUGUUCAAAAAUUUAUACACACAUAUGUGUAGUCUUUGUACAUGAAAAUGUAAAGAAGAAA
rnacentral:lncRNA from 1 species